GACGAACCGUGCGAACGUUGUUCGGAAUCACUGGGCUUAAAGGGCGCGUAGGCGGGCGGCCGCGUCCGGGGUGAAAUCCCACGGCUCAACCGUGGAACGGCCUCGGAUACGGGCGGCCUCGAGGGGGGUAGGGGCGUGCGGAACUCUGGGUGGAGCGGUGAAAUGCGUUGAUAUCCAGAGGAACUCCGGUGGCGAAGGCGGCACGCUGGACCCCUUCUGACGCUGAGGCGCGAAAGCCAGGGGAGCGAACGGG
rnacentral:rRNA from 1 species